GAGCUCAGCCUAACUGCUUUUGCAAUUGCCAGCAGCAGAAUUGAUGGGUUGUUGUUUUUUUCCUUAAAAAUGAGGGCAAAGAUCAUUGACUAAAUAUCACCCUCCCUUCCUCUCAACCACAAGGAGCAUUUGAGAAGUUCCUGAGUUUUUACCAACUCCAGAUGCCAGGUGUACCAAAGAACAGGCCAUUUUUCAAAGCUGUUCUAUUUGUCUGGAUAAUUAGAUCCGUUCUGCUUCAGAACUGAGGAAAUUAAUGGGGGGUAAGAAAACCAAAAGCAUGCACGUUUCCUCCGCUUGGAGGGAGAAAAAAGCACCCAAAAAGCUUUGGAAGGAUUCAUGCAAACAGUGCAGGAAGGAGAGGAGCAGAGAUCCCACAGUUGCAUCCAUCCGUCCGUCCGUCCAUCUGUCCAUCAUGCAGCCCUGCUGCUGUCCACCUUCCCCGAGCAGAAUUGGCCAAGCACAUCUCCCUACUGGGAGCUCACAGAAGUGCCACAGACAUCACCAUGCAGCCUCCUGGGUCGCUCUGCUAAUGGGCAAUUACUGCUGUUCUGGGGGCUUUGUAGGCAGAUGUCCCUGCUCUGCCUUCAGCCUCAUGCAUCCCUGAGUCCGUUAGGUAGCUGCAGAGGGCAGGGCAGUAUGUGCAAUGUGGAGAACUCUAUGAGCUCCGGAGAGCCUCUUUGGUGGCAGCCCUGCCAGGAGCAGACACUGACUUCAUGACAAGCUCAGCAGCCGGGUGUCGAGAAGUGCUCUGCCCUGGAUUGCAGCAAGCUGCUCUGCUUUUUUCCUUUUUUUCCCUCCUAUUGAUUUAGUUUGGAAGCAUUUCAGAGGGCACUUUCUCCUGUUAUAUGGUGAUAAAAUCCUGGGCUCAAUAACUGAGAUCUGAUGUCUGGCAUCAGAGCAAUACAAAUAACAAUAAAAGAAACAAAAUAGUGGUGAGUCAGGCUGGUUUCUGCUUGGAAAAACAUCAGUUCUCCUUAUUACUCAUUGGCUUUGCCAUCUCCUCUGGGGGACCCUGCCGGCCACCGCAGGCUGCAGCAGAACAGAGGCCGGGCUGAACUCCAUCCCGCCAGGGCGCGCUUUGCUGGGGCUCGGGGGGUUGUGUGCCUGUGCCGAUGGCACCCAGAGCACAUAGGAGCACAGCAGCAGUGUGCCCAGCCAGCCCGGCCCUGCUGUUUUCUUCUAUCAAGACUUCUAUUGGUUCAUGUCUAGCUUGUUUGCUUCCUUUUGGCACCAUUUUUUCUCUGCAAGUGAAAAAUUUACCCUGAAUCACAGCACGUUAUUUCCACUUGUCAAGAUAAAGGUUAAUGAAGUACUGGUAACUGCAUCACAGAUCUGGCUCUGUCUCUAUCUGCGAUUUUUUAUGGCGCUCUGUGCUGCGCAGCCCAUGCAUGGAAAAGGCUGAGAUUAAAAAAUGAUAAUAAAAACAAAACAAAGUGUUAGAGGUCAAGAAAUUCGCAGUGGCAGAGCUGAGCCGCUGCCCGUCGCCGCUGCCUCUCCCCGUGGGGCCGUGCAGUGGGCACAGGGCGAGGAUUACCCCAGCAUUCCAGCAGUAUUUGAGCAGCAUUUCCCAUUGCAGACAUUGGCUCUGGGUAGCAGCUGCUCGGGUAUUCAUACACCGUAUAAAUAAUACAGAGAGUACGUAGGUAUGUACCUCCUACAAAUAUAAUAUAGGAUUUAGAAGCAACAUCACGAUAUAUUUGAUGCGUAGCUGUCUUCACAAAGAUUUGCACCGGAGCUGCAGGAGGAUUUUGCACGCUGGCUGCACAAACCUCCCAUGCCUGAGCACAGAGCGGGGUGGCACAGCGGAGCCGCUCAGCGCAGCGGGGCUGUGAGGCGGGAGGAACCACGGCCACCAGCUCGUCUCAUAGUCUGUAGGCACAAGACCAACGUCUAAUCCUGCUGAUACAAAAGAUGCACUGGCUUAGCAGCAGCCCGUGCGGCUGCAGGAAGGAAGGGAGGGGCAGCCUUGUUUUCUUCCCAGGGAAGGCCAACGACUUUUGGGAUGGGUGUCAGAAGCUGCCGGUUGGGCUGAGUCAUGAGGUUGGCAUGGGGCGUUUCUCAUUAAGGCUGGCUUGAACGCACGCCAAGGAGGAUCUCCAAAAUUCACAGCUCAUCAUAGGGUUAAAAAUCCCACGGUCUGCUAUUCUGCUCCGCCGCAUGCGACCCGAAGCCUGGGCAGGUUGUGCAGAGAAACCCGAACACGAAAUACCCUGCAACGCCUGAAGAGCUCAUGAAGUGAUGGAGAACAUCAGGAGCCAAAGGGAUCUGUGCAGAGCAGCGGAUGGAGCACUUGCUGGGGCUGCUGGGAGCCUCGCUGGCUCCUCACCAUCCACUGAACUUAAAGGUUGUGUUGUCACAGACGUAACCUCCAGAUCUAACGAGCUGCUCACAGAAAGGAGAUCUGCUAAAGCAGCAGGGCUGCCCCUCUGGCUGCAGCAGUAGCUCACCAGACAGCCCAGCACGGCCGAGUCAGAGCAGCGGUGCAGGGUGGGACCUGACUGUGCCGACAGCGCCAGAAGGAAAAUAUCUCACAUUUUAUGUAUUCAUGAAAAAUAGUAAAAGCGGAUGCAAAAAUGAGACAAAACAAACCUUUGCCCACUAGGUGGCUGUAAUUGUUAUGGCCCUGCUUCGUUUUUGGCAUCAAAUUGUCUUCGGCAGAAUGCCUUCCUCCUUCGUGCCCUGCUCUGUGUGCUGGGGACCUCUGUUGUGCCGGCAGCGGAGCACUCCUCGCUCAGCACAUUUCAGUCAUCUUUACCAAACAUCGGUGUUAAACCAGCUUGCUGCACUGCGUCGGAGGGCCCAGCACUGUUCUGAAGGACGGAGCGUGCAUUCGUUUCUCACUACUUCAUUUUCAGAUGGCAUAAGGAACGAAUAACCCUUUGGAAAGGCUUUCCCCAUGCCGUGCCAUGAAGCACAAGCAGCUUCCUAUUACUGUUGUAUCACCAAAACUUUGCAAAGCCGAUGGAUGAAAGCCCAGAAGGCAGGAUUGAGCAUCUGUGUCCUACAUUGAGGAUCAGCGCUGAUGUGAAAAAGAAGCGGGAUCUGCAGGAAAGGAGGCUGGAGUGAUGCAGCACAGGGAACGCGCUGCUCCGUGCUGGGCCAGGCUCAGCUCUGGGAGGAGGAGCGGGGCACUGCUGUGCCGCAGCCUGCAGGUCUGUCUGCCCGCAGCACGGGUUGGUCUCAUUCCGGUGGGAUUCCCCGCACCCAAUGGUACGGCCCCGGUACCACACAUACGUCCAACACCUCUGGAUUUCAGAGCCUGGAAGAGAUGGCACCUGUGGCACAAGGGGAGCUGCAAGAUCUGCCUUAGAAGAAUUCCAGAACGGCUCUGACGGUGGUUUAACAUCGGUCAAGUAGCUCAUUCGAUCUAUUGCUCGCUCUUGCAGAAGUACCACAGAAAAGUGCUCGGAGGCCACAGAGGCAGUCAGACCAGCUGUGUCCUCCUGCUUUAACUGUUUCUCCCUAAAUUAAUCCCAGCGGAGUGCUCUGUUUUGUGCGGGCCCUGCAGAGGGAGGUGUCCCUGGGCACUGAGCUCCCCUGGCUGCAUGCUGGCCGUGCCCCGGGCGGUCGCACCGCUGUGCUGCAGGCUGGCCCUGCCCUUCCCGCUGCAUGCAGAGCCAACCGAGCCAUGCAUUUAAAUCGAGUUCAUCACCCUCUGACUGAACACCGUAUGGAAUUAUGUUAAUCGAGAAGGCAUAAUGAGCCUUCACAUUCACCUGACUGUAAGUAAGGAUGAAGUGCUGAACUAAAGUGUCUCUUUAAUCCUAAAUUGGUCCUUAUCCCCAACACCUCUACAAGAAUGUCCUGUGUGCAGAGCACAGAACUCGGUCAUUGUGCCCAUGUUCUGGGGAUGUCCUCAGAGAACUGCCACUGUCCUGCAUAGGCACUGUUUUCCUAUCUACAAAAUAAGAUAAAGCAUUUCUGAGUCUGCAGCAAAAUAGUGAGACAAAUGGCCAAAAGAGAUAGGUACCAUUAAAGGUGGAGGUCUGCUUUUUCCUCUUCUCCUGUUUCCUUGAAGGCAAUUCCUGCCAUCAUCCUUUGAAACAACCUGAGCACAUCCCCAGCACUGGGGCAGAAUAGCUGAGGCUCCUGACAUGCAGUGAUGGAGUUGUGGAUGCUUUGUGUGCUCAGCCAGGAGACACACAGCAGCAGAGGCAUGCAAACCCAGCAGCUAUUUUGGAAUGCCACACACAGCCCAGAGAGAGCUGCACACGUAAGGGUAACAGAGGUGUGUGGGGCUGCCCCCAGGGUGGUCUGACCUGUGAAGGAGAUACCCAGCUGGGAGCCGAGCUGUGAGGCCAGCAGCGAGGUGGGCCCCAGCCUUGGGCAGAGGGAUGGGGACAGCAGCCCUGGGGAGCCCAGCCCGGUGCCAGCAGCGGCGCACGCCUUGCCCUGUGGGCAGGAGCUCUGUGCCCUCUCUCGUCUCACCUGGGCAUUGCUCUGAAGCAAAGCAUUCCUGCCCAACACGCACCGCGUUCAGUGGGGAGUUUUUGCACGUUCCCGUUUGGUUUUGUACCAUUUCUAGCAUUUCUGGCAAAAACAUUUCCUCUGACUGUUUUCCUUCUAGAAACAGCCUCUUCCAGACAGGGCUGCUCUGCCACUGCACAGCGGGCAGACGUGUGGCUAUUUAAAACGUGGAGCUGGAACGUCAGCCAAGCACUUGUCUCGUUCCAAGCAGAGCUGGAGCUGAGGGCACACUGCGGGGUGCACCCUGCCCGGCCCGGGGGCUCAGCGGUGUCGCAGCCCCUGUGUUCAGUUCAAGGCUUCCAGGGAGCAAAUCAGUGACAAAACCCAACAAAGUUUUAGGAGCAGGUAUUUCUCAGCCUGGUAUUUCUGCCCCCUGCUCCCAGCUCCUGUGCACUCUGUGCCCGGUGGUUUAAUUAGUUGCCAAGCUGCACGCAGCGGAGCUCAGCAGCAGCCAUCAGAUCUGACAUUUUGCUCACAUGAGGGUCGUCGGUGAUUUUUCUCCCACCCGCUGCAGCCCCCCUGUUCUGCUGGGAGAUGCAGAGUCAUGGCUCUGCCUGCCUGGCUCCCUGCCACCCAACUGCUCCUUUAAAACCCCAUACCUCCCAUUGAAAGAACUCGGUGUCCUGUUCGCCAGGAGGACGUCAGUGUUUCUAUGGAAACUCUUCCCAAAGAUUCUCGCUCGGCGCUGCUGCUGCGUAUUGUAUGACCGGCUUUGUACACGGCAAUUCAUUAUAGAGGCUGUGACGAAAAGGGAACAGCUUUCUGCCCAGAGGGAAAAAGCAUUCGGAAAAAAAACCCAGCGACAACAAAAAACACCUCCGUAUUAAUAAAGUAAGCCACUAAAAUGGAAGGUGCCAAAGCCGUUCGGUAUUUGAGUUAUGAAUGGAAUCUGCUCGCCUGCGCUGCUUGCAGAGAAGUGAAACGCACCGAGACCCGAGCAAUUAGCUGGGCUGACAAAAUGGACACGCUGCAUAUAGGAUGUGUUUUGUUCCGAGUCGCUGAGGGGAAAGUGUUCCACCACAGCCGCUGUGAUCCAGGAGUGCCACGCAGUAACGAACGGACCCACACUGAGCCCGGGACGUGCGCUGCUGUGGGCGCAGGGCUCUCAUCCAGCUCAGAAAAUCACGGGGACCAGCAGAGGACACACUGAUGGCACUUACGUCAGUCUCCCUUGCUGGAUGUGUCCAAAGGCGGCCAGACUGCUCACCCCACGGAAACGAGCAGCACACAUUAAAGGGCAGCAAGGCAAAAGGUCUGCGUCCCAUUCCCACCUCUACCCCAGGCUCACAUGCUUGUUUCCUACGGGGAGGCCUCUGCUGAAUUUGAAGGUGUGGAACUUUGGGAGGUUGAUGUGGCGGUGCCCAGCAGUGGGCUGGCAGCAGAGCUGUGCUCCGGUACGCAGCUCCAGGCAUUGGGCCGCUCCGUACAGCAGUGGGAAGCAGCCCCUGACCCAGCAGCAGUCCGAGAUCUCCUAAAGAAAACGCAGUGCUCGUGCACUGAGCUGGAAAACGGCACCCAGGGAAAACUGGGCAGAGAAUGAGAAGAGACAAGUAUUUUAUUUUUAAACCUUAUGAAUUUCUGAGUGGUUCUGCUGUGCUGCUUUCUGAGGGAGGGAGGCAGAAUUGGGAAAAUAGGAAUUUCAAACCAUGCUCGCUCCCUGAUCCUGCACUAAGGACUUGUAUUACCUUUAAUUGAUGUCUCUGAGUGCAUUCUCAUUGAUCUACCACAACUGCGCUCUUUGUGCAGAGAACAUUCUAUUCUGAGAGUGCAAUCUAGUCCCAUGCAAACCAUAGAGAUGUUUCCUGAUAACAUAAUUUGGAAAAAGAGGAUGUAAUUACUGCCUGUGCUGCAUGCACGGCGUCUGCGCGCCUUGCGCCCAACCCAUGGCCCCAGUUGGAGUCUGCACCGGGGAGAUCUCCCAACGCCCUCAGUGUGGUUCUCGUUUUGCAGAACGUCUUUUCCAUCCUAUUAAAUAUGUAAGCCCUCGUGCCUUUGAUUUUAGCUUCCCAACGACAUCUCGCGCUGAAAUUAUUCAGAAGGAUCUCGGAGGUUCUUGCAUAUGAAAGUCAGAGAUCUCUGCUGAGGGAAGGUCUGCUCUUGGAGGAGAGGAGAGCAGCGCUGCAGGCAGCGGCUGCAGAGUGGUGGGGAGAGGGCAGCUCUGCUGGGGGGAGAUCGUUCCUGGGAGCACAGCAAGGUGGGCUCUCGCUUUCAAGAGCGACACUUACACAUAGAAGAGCUCAGAACUCAUCUGACCCACUCCAAAAAAAGAUAGAAAUCUGUGUGCCCAUACUACGCAACCCACGUGGUGCAGCUGUGUGACUUAAGGUGGCACGCUCCUGUCUCAUAGACUGUGCCAUUGGCAACUCUGCUUCGUUGCCUGCUCAGCGAUGGAAGACACGUGGGGUGGGACGCCGCAAUCUGGAUUUUCAUUGCUAAGGCCAAAUCUGUCUCAGUUCAGCCGUGGCUGCACUGUCCAUAGUGGGGCUCUGUGUGAAAUAAGCACGCUGUAGUCACGAUAGCAAACCAAACCAAAAUUAAAUCCAAAUCAAAUUGAAAAAAAUCCAUUUCCUCGGAAGGCAGCAGAGCAGGUGAGUCAAAGACAGAGGAAAUACAGGCAAAGCUGGAGAAACACAGAUGUAAAUGUGUUCAUCUUAAAACAUUCCUUUAAAGUCACAGGAAAGCCAUGCAGUGCGUGCAAUGCCUGAGGUUUCUUAAACAGGGAAAGAAGAUUAAAAUACUGAUCUCCACUGGUUUCAUCGUGCAGCAGCAAAAAUGAGUGUGGCCAGGAAGGCUGACCUAUGGGAGAUGAGAAAGCGAAGCCAUACACGUGGCUGAGGCGGGGUGCAGGAACAGCGGGGUGGGCUGUUGUUUGAAAGACAGCACAGUUCAGGGCUGAAGAUGAAGGGAAGGUUGGUGCAGCUCUGGAGAAGUGUCCUUUCAGACACUGGCGCGUACAUCAAGUCAUGGCAGCCCUGGCAUACAGAUGUGGAGGCACCGGGCUGCACUAAGCUGCCAUGGGGGUCACUGGAUGCCACCAGCGACUUACAGCACUUCUAUUCCCGAGUUUCCAAAGCAAAUCACCUUCAGCAAAGCGAUGGCUCAGCUCUCAGUACACACCACAUCUCCUCCCGUGAGGCGCCCGGCAGCACCGCGCCUUUCUUACAGCCCUGAGCAAAACCCAAAGCGCGGAGCAGCCCGGAGCUCCGGGGGAACGGACAGACCCACCCCGUGCAUCCUUCCCAUCUCUGGUUUCCAUGACAGUUGCAUAAUCAGACAUUUAUGUAAGUAGAGGUUUCCUCUUUAAAUAGCAGGCUGUGAUCUCAUGCGCACCUACAUAUCACCCAUCUGAGUGGAGAUGAUGUGCCAGUCGUGUAGAACUCGCUAUGCUUCCAACUUAUUUUCCCAUACUGAUGGUGGCUGAUGAGCCCGCAGGGCACUGCUCACACACAACUCGUUUCUCAGGGCCUGAAGCAGCCGCCAGCCCCGGCUCUGACGCGUGGCUGUGCUCAGCACUCACUCGGGCCCCGGUCCCCACCCGGGGUGGGCAGAUCCACACUGCAUCCCCCCAUUGCUGCAGCUGCACCAUCCGCCCCCGGGGGCUCCUGCAGGCGGGGGUCGUUGGGCCGGCACUGCGCUGGGCCUUCUGCAGGGCCCCACUGAGCUCACACCAACAGGGCUGCGUCACAGACGCCAGAGAUGCGGCCCUCCUCCCAGGUGUGACAGCAGUUGAAAUGAAGAGAAGCAGAUCUGCUCUGCAGAAUUCCUGUCCUGCUCGCACCUCAGUUCACGUAAUGAGCUGGAGAUGCACUCAGGGGUAACUGCCGUUACAUCUGCUUGCUAAAAGAUCUAAAGAGAGCUCCGCUCCCUGCGAGAAGUGGCAGUGGACGCUGCAGUCCCAGCGCCAGCAGCUCUCGGUGUGUGCGGGCACUGUGGUGCACUCAGCUCCACGCGCCGUUAGCAGCCAGUCCUUCCCAAACCACUGCAGCACCGUAUGCAGAAAUGUGCCCCAGGAUGAGGGGAGCCGGCAGCUGUGCCAGCCUUCGGCCUCAGCUCGGGGCCGUGGCAGCUGCCGCACAGAGCCUGCUCUCACUGACAGCAACACGGAGCG
ensembl:lncRNA